ACUCACUGAGAUGCAGAAAGUAUCUAAAAGUGGUCUAGUGAGGUUGAACUGAAAGUUGAAUUGAGUUAUUAGAGUGGAGGGUUUUUGUAUAUUGGGAAGUUACCUAAGUAAAGUGAAAAGUAGUGUGGAAUUCAAGAUGGCGGAGGCAGAAGUUUUUCCGAGGAGGCAAAAGUGGUGCAAAAAGCGGCUGAAAAGUGAAGGAAAUGUUACCUGAGCUGAUCCUUUGGAGACCUCAUUGUUGAAUUUGUGGGAAAUUCCAUUUUUGCGGAACAUGAAGAGGUGUGGAAACCUGCCGCUGAUUGGGAGCGAUUGUUCUAGAAUUCAGGUCGAAGUGCUGAGUUUUCAGCGGUGGACACCUUGUCCCUGAAGUGAAGAUUCCGCUAAAGUUGCGAGAAUCAGGUUUGUUAAGUUAUGUGAGAUACUGGGAUUCCAUAAUUUCACUGAAAGUGAAUCGCUGAAGAAUGUUAUCUAAAAGGCGUCUAAGAAGUAUAAAUCAAAUUCUUAUGAAAUUGAUUAACUGAAGUUGUGGUGGUUGAACGAAAAUUCUUGUUGCGGAUAUAAGGACGAGUUAAGGCUAUAUAGUGACAGAAAAUUUGACUUAAAUUAAAAUCACAUCUAAUAGCAUAUUGUCCUCAACACCGCCGAAACGAAUGCAUUUGAUGGGGCUGCGAUUGUAGCGGUCUGAAAAAAAAA